rnacentral:rRNA from 1 species
CCUACGGGGUGCUGCAGUGGGGAAUAUUGGACAAUGGGCGAAAGCCUGAUCCAGCCAUGCCGCGUGUGUGAAGAAGGCCUUCGGGUUGUAAAGCACUUUCAGUGGGGAAGAAAGCCUUGGGGCUAAUACCCUCGAGGAAGGACAUCACCCACAGAAGAAGCACCGGCUAACUCCGUGCCAGCAGCCGCGGUAAUACGGAGGGUGCGAGCGUUAAUCGGAAUUACUGGGCGUAAAGCGCGCGUAGGCGGUCUGAUAAGCCGGUUGUGAAAGCCCCGGGCUCAACCUGGGAACGGCAUCCGGAACUGUCAGGCUAGAGUGCAGGAGAGGAAGGUAGAAUUCCCGGUGUAGCGGUGAAAUGCGUAGAGAUCGGGAGGAAUACCAGUGGCGAAGGCGGCCUUCUGGACUGACACUGACACUGAGGUGCGAAAGCGUGGGUAGCAAACAGGAUUAGAUACCCCAGUAGUC